GCCCACCAAGGCGACGAUGGGUAUCCGGCCUGAGAGGGUGUACGGACACAUUGGGACUGAGAUACGGCCCAAACUCCUACGGGAGGCAGCAGCUAAGAAUAUUCCGCAAUGGACGAAAGUCUGACGGAGCGACGCCGCGUGGAUGAAGAAGGCCGAAAGGUUGUAAAAUCCUUUUUCCGGUGAAGAAUAAGUGUGGUAGGGAAUGACCGCAUGAUGACAGUAGUCGGUGAAUAAGCCCCGGCUAACUACGUGCCAGCAGCCGCGGUAACACGUAGGGGGCAAGCGUUGCUCGGAAUUAUUGGGCGUAAAGGGCAUGUAGGCGGUUUUGUAAGCCUGGUGUGAAAUCCUGCAGCUUAACUGUAGAAUUGCAUUGGGUACUGCAAGACUUGAAUCACAGAGGGGAAACUAGAAUUCCAGGUGUAGGGGUGGAAUCUGUAGAUAUCUGGAAGAAUACCGGUGGCGAAGGCGGGUUUCUAGCUGAUGAUUGACGCUGAGGUGCGAAAGUGCGGGGAGCAAACAGGAUUAGAUACCCUGGUAGUCCGCACAGUAAACGAUGUACACUAGGUGUCGGGGCAUGAGUCUCGGUGCCGAAGCUAACGUGAUAAGUGUACCGCC
rnacentral:rRNA from 1 species